rnacentral:sRNA from 1 species
GCUCAGCGAUAUGAGGCAGCAUCGACAAUUUAUGGACCGCACACAUUAUCUGCUUAUAUUCAGCUCUUCAGAAACCUUGCUAAAGCUAUUGCUACGGGAGAAGUUGCUGAAGUUAUAUUUGUAGGUGCUAACCCGAAGAAUUCAGUACAAAACCAGACCCACCAGACCUUCCUCACUGUGGAGAAAUAUGAGGCUACUUCAACGUCGUGGCAGAUAGUGUGUAAUGAUGCCUCCUGGGAGACUCGGAAGUCCCCAUGGGCUGCAGGGGACAGGAAGAUCCUGAUCUGUGACAAAUCGACUGGAUGGAAUUUUCAGGCUGAAGAGAGGUUGAACCCACAAAAUCUUGGACAGUCUUUCAUGAGCUCAGGCCUACAAUCAUGCCCCACACAGUGAGCCAUGGUGAAUGCAUUUUGAAAAGCAACCUCCUCCCUUCCCUUUUCCUCUUUGUGACUUUGUGUAUCACAAAAGCAGCUGUGAGCCAGAGAAGGGGCUCGGAUAAUGGCUCUGUUGCUGAGGUGUCCUUUGGUGGCUGGGAAAUGAAGACUGGGAAUUGCUGCAUAGGCCUGGGGGGCAUAGAAGACAGGAGCUCCAAGGGUGACUUCAAUGGGGGAACCAUCCAGCACCUGUUGUAGAGAGCAAAGAAAAAUCAACAUGAGAUGAUAUGAAGAUAACCAAGUGUGGCUGAGCCCUAAUAACAUGACUCCUUCUAAGUGUUAGACUAUUUGCUGUAGGUUUAUUGAUUGUACCUUGUCAUUUUAUAGGUUUGUUUUGUAUGCCAGCUGAACUUUUUCUGAGCCAUUUUGUUGGUAAGUUGCAUAAGAUGCCAACAGGUUUG